CAUCGCCGCGGGAACACGAAGGGGGCUAGCGUUGUUCGGAAUUACUGGGCGUAAAGCGCACGUAGGCGGAUCGAUCAGUCAGGGGUGAAAUCCCAGGGCUCAACCCUGGAACUGCCUUUGAUACUGUCGAUCUGGAGUAUGGAAGAGGUGAGUGGAAUUCCGAGUGUAGAGGUGAAAUUCGUAGAUAUUCGGAGGAACACCAGUGGCGAAGGCGGCUCACUGGUCCAUUACUGACGCUGAGGUGCGAAAGCGUGGGGAGCAAACAGGAUUAGAUACCCCUGUAGUCCCUGUCUCUUAUACA
rnacentral:rRNA from 1 species